AAAUUGAAGAGUUUGAUCAUGGCUCAGAUUGAACGCUGGCGGCAGGCCUAACACAUGCAAGUCGAGCGGAAACGGCAGCAUUGAAGCUUCGGUGGAUUUGCUGGACGUCGAGCGGCGGACGGGUGAGUAACGGCUGGGAACCUGCCCUGACGMGGGGGAUAACCGUUGGAAACGACGGCUAAUACCGCAUAAUGUCUYAGUUCAUUACGAGCUGGGACCAAAGGUGGCCUCUACAUGUAAGCUAUCGCGUUGGGAUGGGCCCAGUUAGGAUUAGCUAGUUGGUAAGGUAAUGGCUUACCAAGGCGACGAUCCUUAGCUGGUUUGAGAGGAUGAUCAGCCACACUGGGACUGAGACACGGCCCAGACUCCUACGGGAGGCAGCAGUGGGGAAUAUUGCACAAUGGGGGAGACCCUGAUGCAGCCAUGCCGCGUGUGUGAAGAAGUUGCGUUGGGAUGGGCCCAGUUAGGAUUAGCUAGUUGGUAAGGUAAUGGCUUACCAAGGCGACGAUCCUUAGCUGGUUUGAGAGGAUGAUCAGCCACACUGGGACUGAGACACGGCCCAGACUCCUACGGGAGGCAGCAGUGGGGAAUAUUGCACAAUGGGGGAGACCCUGAUGCAGCCAUGCCGCGUGUGUGAAGAAGGCCUUCGGGUUGUAAAGCACUUUCAGCAGUGAGGAAGGUGGUGUACUUAAUARGUGCAUGGCUUGACGUUAGCUGCAGAAGAAGCACCGGCUAACUCCGUGCCAGCAGCCGCGGUAAUACGGAGGGUGCGAGCGUUAAUCGGAAUUACUGGGCGUAAAGCGCAUGCAGGCGGUUUGUUAAGUCAGAUGUGAAAGCCCGGGGCUCAACCUCGGAACCGCAUUUGAAACUGGCAGGCUAGAGUCUUGUAGAGGGGGGUAGAAUUUCAGGUGUAGCGGUGAAAUGCGUAGAGAUCUGAAGGAAUACCAGUGGCGAAGGCGGCCCCCUGGACAAAGACUGACGCUCAGAUGCGAAAGCGUGGGUAGCAAACAGGAUUAGAUACCCUGGUAGUCCACGCCGUAAACGCUGUCUACUUGGAGGUUGAGGUUUAAGC
rnacentral:rRNA from 1 species